rnacentral:misc_RNA from 1 species
GGGUAAAACUUUUUUAAGCAUAUAUAAGGGGGGUAGAGGUGUUGGAGGCAGACUGAGGCGCAGGCAGGCAAACGGCAUAGGCGUCCCGUGGGCUUAGUAGGCGUGCUGCGUGGGCGCUUGAUGGCAUGCAUGGCUUGUCCGUGCUACGCCGUUGGGCGUUUACAAAAACACGUCGACGACGUCGGCGGGGCGAGUGACGCGAAGGCAGGCGGACGUCACGGGCGUCCUGUGGGCUUAGUAGGCGUGAUGCGUGGGCGCUUGAUGGCAUGCAUGGCUUGUCCGUGCUACGCCUUUGGGCGUCUACAAAAACAUGUCGACGACGUCGGCGGGGCGACUGAGGCGAAGGCAGGCGGACGUCGAGGGCGUCCUGUGGGCUUAGUAGGCGUGCUGCGUGGGCGCUUGAUGGCAUGCAUGGCUCGUCCGUGCUACGCCGUUGGGCGUUUACAAAACAUGUCGACCACGUCUUCGGGGCGUUUGAGGCGCAAAGCAGGUGGACGUCGAGGGCGUCCUGUGGGCUUAGUAGGCGUGCUGCGUGGGCGCUUGAUGGCAUGCAUGGCUCGUCCGUGCUACGCCGUUGGGCGUCUACAAAAACACGUCGGCGACGUCUGUGGGGCGACUGAGGCGAAAGCAUGCGGACGUCAAGGGCGUCCUGUGGGCUUAGUAGGCGUGCUGCGUGGGCGCUUGAUGGCAUGCAUGGCUCGUCCGUGCUACGCCGUUGGGCGCUCGCAAAAACAUGUCGGCGACGUCUUCGGGGCGUUUGAGGCGCAAAAAGCAGGCGGACGUCGAGGGCGUCCUGUGGGCUUAGUAGGCGUGCUGCGUGGGCGCUUGAUGGCAUGCAUGGCUCGUCCGUGUUACGCUGUUGGGCGUCUACAAAAACACGUCGGCGACGUCUUCGGGGCGACUGAGGCGAAAGCAGGCGGGGACGUCAAGGGCGUCCUGUGGGCUUAGUAGGCGUGCUGCGUGGGCGCUUGGUGGCAUGCAUGGCUCGUCCGUGCUACGCCGUUGGGCGCUUACAAAAACAUGCCGGCGACGUCUGCGGGGCGUUUGAGGCGUAACCAGGCGGACGUCAUGGGCGUCCUGUGGGCUUAGUAGGCGUGCUGCGUGGGCGUUUGAUGGCAUGCAUGGCUAGUCCGUGCUACGCCGUUGGGCGCUUACAAAAACAUGCUGGCGACGCCUGCGGGGCAACCGUGCGCUGCCGAGGGAACUUCUCACGAUCGGUUUUAUAGAAGCGUUUGGUGUGGAAACGGCAGUGCUUUCGGGCGAGUGGCGAGUUCUAGAGCUCCUGUUACGGCUAACUCUAGGCGUCGCACGCACGGGGCACGUAAGGCCAUGUACGGCCAGACGCUAGUAUGGACCGGGCGUGGGCGGUUCCCCUCUGUGAACCUUAGUCUUCCUCCAACGUUCUCUGCAGUGAUUAAGUUCUCAACUCCCUUGGGCACGCGCGCAACGGCGGGUAUAGCAUUGGCUUUGCAAAGAAGGCAUUCGGCGUCGUCGCACGACAUCUCAUGUCGGGCGUCGGGGUAGAUGUCGGGCGUGCAUCGUUGGAGCUAUUCACGUACGGCGCAUGAGUGGUAUUGGGCAUGUGUGGUUAGGUUGGAUCCCUGCUUCGAGCAAGCGACGUCCUUAACUCGCAUGCCAUCUCGGUGGGUGAUGAAGCGCAACCUAGGCUUGACGGACGUCGGAAUCCUGUGCUGCAUACCUAAUGCCUAAGGCAUUGUGCACGUGCAAUCGGUCGCCUUUCGCCCCUCGCAUUCCAUGUGCGGGGUGAACCCAAAAGACGCUCUCGCGUCCCACGCCUUCCCUCGCUUCGUCGUGCGAUGGUGUGGUCCGCGAGCGGCGCCUCGAAUUCUCGGAUACGGUAGACGCAGUGGGCAUGGGGCCUUCAUCGGCUCCUAUCUGCCCAAAACGAAUGCUCCUUGCGAAUGACUGCCGCGCUCGCCUUGGACCCGAUCGUGCUCAAAAGGGCGCGCCGGGCUCAUGCGGCGCGCGGCGUCGUUGAGGAAUGC